GAUGAAGAACGUAGCGAAAUGCGAUAACUAAUGUGAAUUGCAGAAUUCAGUGAAUCAUCGAAUCUUUGAACGCACAUUGCGCCCUUUGGCAUUCCGAAGGGCAUGCCUGUUCGAGCGUCAUUAUCACCCCUCAAGCCCCCCUGGCUUGGUGUUGGACGGUUUUGGUGGGACGUGCAGCCUCUCACCCCUCCUAAAGACAAUGACGGCGGCGUCGUUGGAACCCCCCGGUACACUGAGCUUCUUAACUGAGCACGUACUGGAUGCGGGUACGCGAUGCACGGUCUGCCUCCCCUUUAGGGAGAACUUUUUCUUAAGGUUGACCUCGGAUCAGGUAGGAAUACCCGCUGAACUUAAGCAUAUCAAUAAGCGGAGGA
rnacentral:misc_RNA from 1 species